GAUGAAGAACGCAGCGAAAUGCGAUACUUGGUGUGAAUUGCAGAAUCCCGUGAACCAUCGAGUCUUUGAACGCAAGUUGCGCCCGAAGCCAUCAGGUUGAGGGCACGUCUGCCUGGGCGUCACAUAUCGUUGCCCAAUGCCUAUUGCAGUGCAAUAGGAAUUUCUAGGGCGAAUGAUGGCUUCCCGUGAGCGUUGUUGCCUCGCGGUUGGUUGAAAAUCGAGUCCUUGAUAGGGUGUGCCAUGGUUGAUGGUGGUCGAGUUAGAACGAUACCGAUCAUGUGCAUGCUCCCCAAAAUAUGGCCUCUAUGACCCACACGCGUCUUUUGACGCUCAUGACGAGACCUCAGGUCAGGCGGGGCUACCCGCUGAAUUUAAGCAUAUCAAUAAGCGGAGGA
rnacentral:misc_RNA from 1 species